rnacentral:lncRNA from 1 species
AUGUCUCUCCCUUUUUACAUUCUCUCUUUCUCCCCUCUACAGGAGAAUAAAUUUCUAUUCCAAUGUUCUUUCUCUCUCGAGAAUUCUCGAGAAUUGUCAUUCUCGGUCACCGAGAGACUACCACUAAUACUGGCUAAGAAAUGGGCAGCAGAUAUGUACCCUGGGAGACCUUUCCUCCACUUCAGUGAGAAGUUCUGUCUACUUCAUGGCCAGCAGAGAAGCAUGGUAGCUAAUCAAGACUCUGAGAAAUGUUGCCAAAAGCAGGAAAACGUGUACAGAAGUGAUUGAAAUGGGACUUCCAUUUGUCCCUUGCUGCUAGUUUUCUAAAGGGGAACGUUCCCUUUAAGAAUCAGUCUUAGGAUGUAAAAUCUAGUGGAAUUGUGCCUUGGAUAUGGGAGGGAGUUGGGGGGAGGGGAGAGAAAGAACAUGAUUUUUGUAAUCCUGGAAAAAUGCUCA